rnacentral:rRNA from 1 species
AACGAACGCUGGCGGCAGGCCUAACACAUGCAAGUCGAGCGAGGACUUCGGUUCUAGCGGCGGACGGGUGAGUAACGCGUGGGAAUGUGCCCUUCUCUACGGAAUAGCCCUGGGAAACUGGGAGUAAUACCGUAUACGCCCUAUUGGGGAAAGAUUUAUCGGAGAAGGAUCAGCCCGCGUUGGAUUAGGUAGUUGGUGGGGUAAUGGCCUACCAAGCCGACGAUCCAUAGCUGGUUUGAGAGGAUGAUCAGCCACACUGGGACUGAGACACGGCCCAGACCCCUACGGGAGGCCGCAGUGGGGAAUCUUAAACAAUGGGGGCAACCCUGAUCUAGCCAUGCCGGGUGAGUGAUGAAGGCCUUGGGGUUGUAAAGCUCUUUCAGCUGGGAAGAUAAUGACGGUACCAGCAGAAGAAGCCCCGGCUACCUCCGG